UCGGAUGUAGUGCAUGGUGCACACCUGCUUGAAAUCAUAAGCAAGACGUGUUCUGCCAAAUAAGCAGGAGCCUUGGGUUCGAUUCCCGGCGUCCGAA